rnacentral:rRNA from 1 species
UACGUAGGCAGCAAGCGUUGUUCGGAGUUACUGGGCGUAAAGAGUGCGUAGGCGGUUUCGUAAGUUUGGUGUGAAGUCUCCCGGCUUAACUGGGAGGGUGCGCCGAAAACUGCGGGGCUGGAGUGUGGGAGAGGUAAGCGGAAUUCCUGGUGUAGCGGUGAAAUGCGUAGAUAUCAGGAGGAACACCGGCGGUGUAGACGGCUUACUGGACCAUCACUGACGCUGAGGCACGAAAGCGUGGGGAGCAAACAGG